rnacentral:RNase_P_RNA from 2 species
GCAGAUGGCCAGGCGUUUGCUGCGUCAGAAAUGGCGGAGAGGAAAGUCCGGGCUCCACAGGACGCAAUGGUGGGUAACGCCCACCGUCCGCGAGGAUAGGGCAAGUGCAACAGAGAGCAGACCGCCUGAACGGUUCUUUUCCGAAGGGGCCGCGAAGAGAAGCUGGCAACGGCUUCCGAGGUAAGGGUGAAACGGUGCGGUAAGAGCGCACCAGCGAUUCAGGUGACUGAGUCGGCUAGGUAAACCCCAUUUGGGAGCAAGACUAAGCAGAAGGAAGAGUGCCUUCGGGUACUCACGAUCUUGUCCGGAUCGUCUGACCUUCGGGUAUGUUGCUGCAGGUGUCGAGUAAUCGGCAUCGUAGAUAAAUGAACGCCCGCGACGGCUUGCGUCGUCGCCGACAAAACCCGGCUUAUCGGCCAUCUGCAAAC